ACGCUCGACACCUACGGGAGGCAGCAGUGAGGAAUAUUGGUCAAUGGGCGCUAGCCUGAACCAGCCAAGUAGCGUGAAGGAUGAAGGCUCUAUGGGUCGUAAACUUCUUUUAUAUAAGAAUAAAGUGCAGUAUGUAUACUGUUUUGUAUGUAUAAUAUGAAUAAGGAUCGGCUAACUCCGUACCAGCAGCCGCGGUAAUCUGAGCGGGCUGGCAAGGC
rnacentral:rRNA from 1 species